rnacentral:misc_RNA from 1 species
GAUGAAGAACGCAGCGAAAUGCGAUACUUAGUGUGAAUUGCAGAAUUCAGUGAAUCAUCGAAUCUUUGAACGCACAUUGCACCUCUCGGUAUUCCGGGAGGUAUGCCUGUUCGAGCGUCAUUUGUACCCUCAAGCUCUGCUUGGUGUUGGGUGUUUGUUCCGCCUCUGUGUGUGAACUCGCCUCAAAACAAUUGGCAGCCGGCGUACUUGUUUCGGAGCGCAGCACAUUUUGCGAUCCAGAUCAACGUACAGCGGCAUCCAAGAAGCCUUAUUUAACGCUCUUGACCUCGGAUCAGGUAGGGAUACCCGCUGAACUUAAGCAUAUCAUAAGCGGAGGA